rnacentral:rRNA from 3 species
UGGGUAGGGGAGCGUUCUGUAAGCCUGUGAAGGUGGCCUGUGAGGGUUGCUGGAGGUAUCAGAAGUGCGAAUGCUGACAUAAGUAACGAUAAAGCGGGUGAAAAGCCCGCUCGCCGGAAGACCAAGGGUUCCUGUCCAACGUUAAUCGGGGCAGGGUGAGUCGACCCCUAAGGCGAGGCCGAAAGGCGUAGUCGAUGGGAAACGGGUUAAUAUUCCCGUACUUGGUGUUACUGCGAAGGGGGGACGGAGAAGGCUAUGUUGGCCGGGCGACGGUUGUCCCGGUUUAAGCGUGUAGGUGUGUGUUCCAGGUAAAUCCGGUUCACUUUAACACUGAGGCGUGAUGACGAGGCACUACGGUGCUGAAGCAACAAAUGCCCUGCUUCCAGGAAAAGCCUCUAAGCAUCAGGUAACAUCAAAUCGUACCCCAAACCGACACAGGUGGUCAGGUAGAGAAUACCAAGGCGCUUGAGAGAACUCGGGUGAAGGAACUAGGCAAAAUGGUGCCGUAACUUCGGGAGAAGGCACGCUGACACGUAGGUGAAGUGAUUUACUCAUGGAGCUGAAGUCAGUCGAAGAUACCAGCUGGCUGCAACUGUUUAUUAAAAACACAGCACUGUGCAAACACGAAAGUGGACGUAUACGGUGUGACGCCUGCCCGGUGCCGGAAGGUUAAUUGAUGGGGUCAGCGCAAGCGAAGCUCCUGAUCGAAGCCCCGGUAAACGGCGGCCGUAACUAUAACGGUCCUAAGGUAGCGAAAUUCCUUGUCGGGUAAGUUCCGACCUGCACGAAUGGCGUAAUGAUGGCCAGGCUGUCUCCACCCGAGACUCAGUGAAAUUGAACUCGCUGUGAAGAUGCAGUGUACCCGCGGCAAGACGGAAAGACCCCGUGAACCUUUACUAUAGCUUGACACUGAACAUUGAGCCUUGAUGUGUAGGAUAGGUGGGAGGCUUUGAAGUGUGGACGCCAGUCUGCAUGGAGCCGACCUUGAAAUACCACCCUUUAAUGUUUGAUGUUCUAACGUGGACCCGUAAUCCGGGUUGCGGACAGUGUCUGGUGGGUAGUUUGACUGGGGCGGUCUCCUCCUAAAGAGUAACGGAGGAGCACGAAGGUUGGCUAAUCCUGGUCGGACAUCAGGAGGUUAGUGCAAUGGCAUAAGCCAGCUUGACUGCGAGCGUGACGGCGCGAGCAGGUGCGAAAGCAGGUCAUAGUGAUCCGGUGGUUCUGAAUGGAAGGGCCAUCGCUCAACGGAUAAAAGGUACUCCGGGGAUAACAGGCUGAUACCGCCCAAGAGUUCAUAUCGACGGCGGUGUUUGGCACCUCGAUGUCGGCUCAUCACAUCCUGGGGCUGAAGUAGGUCCCAAGGGUAUGGCUGUUCGCCAUUUAAAGUGGUACGCGAGCUGGGUUUAGAACGUCGUGAGACAGUUCGGUCCCUAUCUGCCGUGGGCGCUGGAGAACUGAGGGGGGCUGCUCCUAGUACGAGAGGACCGGAGUGGACGCAUCACUGGUGUUCGGGUUGUCAUGCCAAUGGCACUGCCCGGUAGCUAAAUGCGGAAGAGAUAAGUGCUGAAAGCAUCUAAGCACGAAACUUGCCCCGAGAUGAGUUCU